GGGGAAUAUUGCACAAUGGGGGGAACCCUGAUGCAGCCAUGCCGCGUGAAUGAAGAAGGCCUUCGGGUUGUAAAGUUCUUUCGGUGACGAGGAAGGUUGAUAGGUUAAUAGCCUAUCAAAUUGACGUUAAUCACAGAAGAAGCACCGGCUAACUCCGUGCCAGCAGCCGCGGUAAUACGGGGGGUGCGAGCGUUAAUCGGAAUAACUGGGCGUAAAGGGCACGCAGGCGGUGACUUAAGUGAGAUGUGAAAGCCCCGAGCUUAACUUGGGAAUUGCAUUUCAUACUGGGUCGCUAGAGUACUUUAGGGAGGGGUAGAAUUCCACGUGUAGCGGUGAAAUGCGUAGAGAUGUGGAGGAAUACCGAAGGCGAAGGCAGCCCCUUGGGAAUGUACUGACGCUCAUGUGCGAAAGCGUGGGGAGCAAACAGGAUUAGAUACCCUGGUAGUCCAUGCUGUAAACGAUGUCGAUUUGGGGAUUGGGCUUUGAGCUUGGUGCCCGUAGCUAACGUGAUAAAUCGACCGCCUGGGGAGUACGGCCGCAAGGUUA
rnacentral:rRNA from 1 species